rnacentral:rRNA from 1 species
CUGGCGGCGUGCUAACACAUGCAAGUCGAACGCGAAAGGGACUUCGGUCCUGAGUAAAGUGGCGCACGGGUGAGUAACGCGUAGAUAACCUGUCUUCAUGUCUGGAAUAAUACGCCGAAAGGGGUACUAAUACCGGAUAUUCUUGCUUUUCAUAAGUUAUGCAAGCAAAGGUGGCCUCUGCAUAUGCUACUGCAUGAAGAGGGGUCUGCGUACCAUUAGCUAGUAGGUGGGGUAAUGGCCUACCUAGGCGACGAUGGUUAGCGGGUCUGAGAGGAUGAUCCGCCACACUGGCACUGGAACACGGGCCAGACUCCUACGGGAGGCAGCAGUGAGGAAUAUUGCGCAAUGGGGGAAACCCUGACGCAGCGACGCCGCGUGAGUGAGGAAGGCCUUCGGGUCGUAAAGCUCUGUCAAGAGGAAAGAAGUGUACAAUGGCUAAUACCUGUUGUAUUUGACGGUACCUCUAAAGGGAGCACCGGCUAACUCCGUGCCAGCCGCCGC